GCCUCUUUCCUGGAGUGCAGCCUGAGUCACAGCUCGAAACUUCUCCCACCUUCUCCGGGUGGAGGGGGCUUCCCCAGUCUUGGGGUGCGCACCUCAGGCAACGACCCAUCCCUCACUCCCCUGUGCUGGGACUGCAUGGGAAGCUGGACUACACUCCUCAGCCUCCCUUGAAGUUGCAGUGAACUUAUGAUGGUUUGUUCUAACCACCGUAAUGUGAGUAAAAGUUAUGUUAUGUGCACUUUCUAGGCUAAGACUUCCCCUUUCCCUUAAAAAAAAUCAAUGUUAUCAACACAGAAUUUACAUACAAUGAAAAGCACCCUUUGAAAAUGUACAACUUGUAUAUCCCCAAUACCAGCUUGAUGAAUACCACUACUAGCACAAUCAACCUAUUGAACAUUUCCGUGACCCCAAAGGGCUUUCUCUUGCUUCACUGUAAUAAAUCCCUCCCACCCACAGGUGACUGCCUGAUCCACUGUAUGUUAUCGUAGAUUAGAUUUGCACAUUCACGGAUUUCAUAUACAUAAAAUCAUACAACAUGAAGUGGUCUGGGCUGGCUACUUUCGCUUCACAUGUUUUAAAAUGCAUUCAUGUUGUUGUGUAUAUCUGUGGUUUUUACCUUUUUAGGCUGGGAUUACAGGCACCCGCCACCACGUCCAGCUAAUUUUUGUAUUUUUAGUAGAGAUGGGGUCUUGCCAUGUUGGCCAGGCUGGUCUUGAACUCCCGACCUCAGGCGAUCUGCUCACCUCAGCCUCCCAA
rnacentral:lncRNA from 1 species